UCCUACGGGAGGCAGCAGUAGGGAAUCUUCCACAAUGGGCGAAAGCCUGAUGGAGCAACGCCGCGUGGGUGAAGAAGGUCUUCGGAUCGUAAAACCCUGUUGUUAGAGAAGAAAGUGCGUGAGAGUAACUGUUCACAUUUCGACGGUAUCUAACCAGAAAGCCACGGCUAACUACGUGCCAGCAGCCGCGGUAAUACGUAGGGGGCAAGCGUUAUCCGGAAUUACUGGGUGUAAAGGGAGAGUAGGCGGCAAGGUAAGCGAUAUGUGAAAGCCUUAAGCUUAACUAAAGGAUUGCAUAACGAACU
rnacentral:rRNA from 1 species